UACGUAGGGUGCGAGCGUUGUCCGGAAUUAUUGGGCGUAAAGGGCUCGUAGGCGGCUUGUUGCUUAGGAUGUGAAAGCCCGGGGCUUAACUCCGGGUCUGCAUUCGAUACGGGCAGGCUAGAGUUCGGUAGGGGAGAUCGGAAUUCCUGGUGUAGCGGUGAAAUGCGCAGAUAUCAGGAGGAACACCGGUGGCGAAGGCGGAUCUCUGGGCCGAUACUGACGCUGAGGAGCGAAAGCGUGGGGAGCGAACAGG
rnacentral:rRNA from 1 species